rnacentral:rRNA from 1 species
UACGUAGGGGGCUAGCGUUGUCCGGAAUCAUUGGGCGUAAAGAGCGUGUAGGCGGCCCGGUAAGUCCGCUGUGAAAGUCAAAGGCUCAACCUUUGAAUGUCAGCGGAUACUGCCGGGCUAGAGUCCGGAAGAGGCGAGUGGAAUUCCUGGUGUAGCGGUGAAAUGCGCAGAUAUCAGGAGGAACACCGAUGGCGAAGGCAGGUCUCUGGGCCACUACUGACGCUGAGAAGCGAAAGCAUGGGGAGCGAACAGG